CAGUAGCCGCGGGAAUACGAAGGGGGCUAGCGUUGUUCGGAUUUACUGGGCGUAAAGGGUGCGUAGGCGGACUGAUAAGUCAGGGGUGAAAUCCCAAGGCUCAACCUUGGGACUGCCUUUGAUACUGUUAGUCUUGAGUUCGAGAGAGGUGAGUGGAACUGCGAGUGUAGAGGUGAAAUUCGUAGAUAUUCGCAAGAACACCAGUGGCGAAGGCGGCUCACUGGCUCGAAACUGACGCUGAGGCACGAAAGCGUGGGGAGCAAACAGGAUUAGAUACCCCUGUAGUCCCUGUCUCUUAUAC
rnacentral:rRNA from 1 species